GACGAACGCUGGCGGCGUGCCUAACACAUGCAAGUCGAGCGAACGGACGAGAAGUUUGCUUCUCUGAUGUUAGCGGCGGACGGGUGAGUAACAUGUGGAUAACCUACCUAUAAGACUGGGAUAAUUUCGGGAAACCGGAGCUUAUACCGGAUGAUAUUUUGAACCGCAUGGUUCAAAAGUGAAAGUCGGUCUUUCUGUCACUUAUAGAUGGAUCCGCGCUGCAUUAGCUAGUUGGUACGGUAAUGGCUUAUCAAGGCGGCGAUGCAUAGCCGACCUGAGCGGGUGGUCGGCGACACGGGAGGGGAGAAGGAGACGAGACACCUGAGGGAGGCCACAGACGAGAAUCGUACGCAAUGGGGGAGAGCCUGACAGAGCAACAGGGCGUGAGUGGUGAAGAUGCACGGAGCGGGAAGCUGGGUUAGUAGUGGAGAACAGAUGUGGAAGUAGCUGUGCAGAGAGUGACGGUACCGGGUCAAGAAGCCCCGGCUAACUACGUG
rnacentral:rRNA from 1 species